CCUCUCUGUAGCGCUCCCUUUUGGGAUCGGCUAGCUGUGAGGCCCCUGUGCGGCUGCUGAGCGGCCUGCUGGAGGCGUUCGGCGGCUUCCGGCCAAUCCACCCCUCUCCCGCGCCAGGGGGCAACCCCAGCCUCACCGGGAACAUCGAGCCCAAAUGAACCAGGAGUUACACUCAAAGUCUUCCCCCGUCUUUCCACUCCACCCGAUUUCUCUCUUCCUUUUUCCACUCCUCCACUUUUCCCUACCGGAAACGCUGCCCCUUCCUCCUACAGUUCCGCCCGCCAGUCCCUCAACUCUAGUCUUCCCUCGCGGCCCAGAGAGUGAAGCUAAGGACCCCCGCCCCUUUUCUGGGGGCCCCACCUCCAGCACGCCUGGAGACUGUUGAAGGGGAUGGGGUGGAGCCCGGGGAGGAAGAGAAAGGAAACCAAUCGGAUUGGAUCAGCAGCUGCCAUGGCAACUGGAGGCUGUGGUUGUAUUGUCAUAGUAACCACUGUGUGCGGACCGGGUGACCCUCCCUUGGCGAACGGAUUCCCGGGAAAGUGCCCAGGGUUCCCCCUUGGCUUCCCUUCCGUCUGAAAGCCUCCCCCAGACUUCUCUGAUGGGUCCGCAGCGUUUCGGAACUCGUCACUCUGUAUCUCCUGGGUCCGAGAGAAAAACGUGGGGUAAAAUAGUAUCAACGAGAACCUAGAGGCUGACGGGAGCUUCCGAGGAAAGACAUUGAGGAAAAGGAUUUUCAUUCUUCAAACCCAUCUUUUUGAAAGCAUUAGGCACUGUCCAGGUUACUAUGGAUACCAUGGUGAAGAAAACAUGAUCCCUGUCUUGGAGAAACCCACAUUCUUGUAGAGAGAGCAAAGAGCAGAGAAGUGAUAAGAAUGCUGUAUGGUGGGUGCAGUAAUUAAGUGUCCUGGGUUUGCUGAGGAGCACAAUGGUAAGAGAACAGAAAACAACGUUGCAGCCUCGAAGGCAGUUUCUUAUUCAUUGUGUUGUGAAACUGCCUCCUUUUCAAUAGCAUACAUCAUUUU